rnacentral:rRNA from 1 species
GGGUCAGUAGGUUGGUCGUGCCACCGGUACGUACUGGUCUCACUGAUUCCUCCUUCCUGAAGAACCGUAAUGCCAUUAAUUUGGUGUUGCGGGGAAACAGGACUGUUACUUUGAAAAAGUUAGAGUGUUUAAAGCAAGCUAACGCUUGAAUACAUUAUCAUGGAAUAAUGAAAUAGGACGAUCGAUCCUAUUUUGUUGGUUUCUAGGAUUGACGUA